UACGAAGGGGGCUAGCGUUGUUCGGAAUUACUGGGCGUAAAGCGUGCGCAGGCGGUUUUGUAAGCCAGAUGUGAAAUCCCCGGGCUUAACCUGGGAAUGGCAUUUGGGACUGCAAGGCUUGAGUGCGGCAGAGGAGACUGGAAUUCCUGGUGUAGCAGUGAAAUGCGUAGAUAUCAGGAGGAAUACCGAUGGCGAAGGCAGGUCUCUGGGCUGACACUGACGCUCAUGCACGAAAGCGUGGGGAGCAAACAGG
rnacentral:rRNA from 1 species